UACGUAGGGUGCGAGCGUUGUCCGGAAUUAUUGGGCGUAAAGAGCUCGUAGGCGGUUUGUCGCGUCGGCCGUGAAAACUUGGGGCUUAACCCCGAGCCUGCGGUCGAUACGGGCAGACUUGAGUUCGGCAGGGGAGACUGGAAUUCCUGGUGUAGCGGUGAAAUGCGCAGAUAUCAGGAGGAACACCGGUGGCGAAGGCGGGUCUCUGGGCCGAUACUGACGCUGAGGAGCGAAGGCGUGGGGAGCGAACAGG
rnacentral:rRNA from 1 species